GACGAACGCUGGCGGCGUGCUUAACACAUGCAAGUCGAGCGGAAAGGCCCUUUCGGGGGUACUCGAGCGGCGAACGGGUGAGUAACACGUGAGUAAUCUGCCCUUCACUCUGGGAUAGCCACCGGAAACGGUGAUUAAUACCGGAUAUGACACGCGACCGCAUGGGCUGUGUGUGGAAACUUUUUGGGUGGGGGAUGUGCUCGCGGCCUAUCAGCUUGUUGGUGGGGUAAUGGCCUACCAAGGCUUCGACGGGUAGCCGGCCUGAGAGGGUGACCGGCCACACUGGGACUGAGACACGGCCCAGACUCCUACGGGAGGCAGCAGUGGGGAAUAUUGGACAAUGGGCGGAAGCCUGAUCCAGCAACGCCGCGUGAGGGAUGACGGCCUUCGGGUUGUAAACCUCUUUCAGCACCGACGAAGCGACCUUUGGGAGUGACGGUAGGUGCAGAAGAAGGACCGGCCAACUACGUGCCAGCAGCCGCCGUAAGAC
rnacentral:rRNA from 1 species